rnacentral:rRNA from 1 species
UGGGGAAUAUUGGACAAUGGGGGCAACCCUGAUCCAGCAAUGCCGCGUGUGUGAAGAAGGCCUGCGGGUUGUAAAGCACUUUCAGUAGCGACGAAAAGCCUAAGGUUAAUACCCUUGAGUCUUGACUUAACCUACAGAAGAAGCACCGGCUAACUACGUGCCAGCAGCCGCGGUAAUACGUAGGGGGCGAGCGUUGUCCGGAAUUAUUGGGCGUAAAGAGCGUGUAGGCGGCCUGGUAAGUCUGCCGUGAAAACCUGGGGCUCAACCCUGGGCGUGCGGUGGAUACUGCUAGGCUAGAGGAUGGUAGAGGCGAGUGGAAUUCCCGGUGUAGCGGUGAAAUGCGCAGAUAUCGGGAGGAACACCAGUAGCGAAGGCGGCUCGCUGGGCCAUUCCUGACGCUGAGACGCGAAAGCGUGGGGAGCAAACAGGAUUAGAUACCCGUGUAGUCC